rnacentral:lncRNA from 1 species
UACUUCAAUCACAUCACCAACGCCAGCCAGUGGGAGCGGCCCAGCGGAGGCAGCACCGUUGGAGGCGGCAGCAAGAAUGGCCAGGGUGAGCCUGCCAGGGUGCGCUGCUCACACCUGCUGGUGAAGCACAGCCAAUCUCGGAGGCCCUCAUCCUGGCGGCAGGAAAAGAUCACCAGGAGCAAAGAGGAGGCCCCCAGGCUCAGGGGGUCAGAGGUGACCUGAUCCCCCGGUCUCAGAGGCAGGCAGGAGGGCCUUUUUCUUGUUAGUUGUAUGCUCAGUUCUUCUGUUCCGUUGCGAAAAGCAGACGCUCCAUACCUGGCGCUGCAGCAGCUCGGCCUCAGGGUGCGAAGCAGCGCACCGUGCACCUUCCAUUAAAUCUGGAACCGCU